rnacentral:lncRNA from 1 species
UGCCCGGCCUGCUGAAGCUGACGAAUCGGCAAUUGAGGCUGUUUUAGAGGCGCUGACAUCCGAGGGGCCUUCUCCUGG